CAGACACAAUCACUUCACUCAGAGGGGGAGUCUCAUCUCUGAAGAACUGCAUUCUGGGUAUGAAGAUGCUGAUGAGCUUCUCUCAGAAGAGAUGGUGAAGGAAAUCACACCGGGAUAUUAUGAUGAUGUCAUCACUGAUGGACUGAAACCAGAUCGUGAGACAGAAGACACACCUGAGAGCUAUGAUGAUGUCAUGACAAGGGGACAGAACUCU